rnacentral:lncRNA from 1 species
AAACAGGUCUGAAACCCAUGACAAAGAGCAAGUCAAACAAGGUAAGCCGGCCCUAGAGAAAAAUGGACCAAAUCAAGCUCUGCCAGAGCUCUGGAGUUUAACUGAAAGAAAGAACAUCUGAUUCCUGCCCAGAAAGCAACACUGAACACCUCAUUUAUUUUGGAGCAGAGGCUGUUGCUGGAGAAGCUGGAAGGUGAGAUGGAGCACCCUAAGGUUGCCGAGGGCACCACUGCUCAGUGUAAACUCAGAUAUCUGGAAAAUGCAAGGCUUCAAAGUUAAGGAUUGGAAAGGCAGGAGGUGAGCAAGCCUGAGGCCCUCCUCAGCUCAGGGCCUUGGCCAAGCGACAGGAGCUGGACAGGGGCAAGAGCCAAGUGGAGGAGCAGUGCUUUCCGUGCGUCAGCUAUCCCUCCAGAGGAGAGUCUAACCACAUUCCCGACUCCAGUUCUCUUUAUUCUCAUAAUUCUUAAAUGACAGAAGAUGAUGCCUUAAUGUGUUAUCUACAUCGUUCUGAAAAAUACUUGCAUUUCCUUCCGUCACAUCUAAUCAAAUUCAUUAUAAAAGUUCCUGUUUCGUAACUACAAAACUGCUCUAAAGAAUGUUACUUUUUUAUUUAAAAAAAAUGAAGGGUUACUGGGGGAAAGAAAGUCUACUUAUCAAUACUUCUUUUGACUCCAAUGACAAAG